rnacentral:rRNA from 1 species
GAGAGCUUGCUCUCUUGGCGGCGAGUGGCGGACGGGUGAGUAAUAUAUCGGAACGUGCCCAGUAGCGGGGGAUAACUACUCGAAAGAGUGGCUAAUACCGCAUACGCCCUACGGGGGAAAGGGGGGGAUCGCAAGACCUCUCACUAUUGGAGCGGCCGAUAUCGGAUUAGCUAGUUGGUGGGGUAAAGGCUCACCAAGGCAACGAUCCGUAGCUGGUUUGAGAGGACGACCAGCCACACUGGGACUGAGACACGGCCCAGACUCCUACGGGAGGCAGCAGUGGGGAAUUUUGGACAAUGGGGGAAACCCUGAUCCAGCCAUCCCGCGUGUAUGAUGAAGGCCUUCGGGUUGUAAAGUACUUUUGGCAGAGAAGAAAAGGUAUCUCCUAAUACGAGAUACUGCUGACGGUAUCUGCAGAAUAAGCACCGGCUAACUACGUGCCAGCAGCCGCGGUAAUACGUAGGGUGCAAGCGUUAAUCGGAAUUACUGGGCGUAAAGCGUGUGUAGGCGGUUCGGAAAGAAAGAUGUGAAAUCCCAGGGCUCAACCUUGGAACUGCAUUUUUAACUGCCGAGCUAGAG